rnacentral:rRNA from 1 species
CCUACGGGGGGCAGCAGUGGGGAAUAUUGGACAAUGGGGGAAACCCUGAUCCAGCGACGCCGCGUGAGUGAAGAAGUAUUUCGGUACGUAAAGCUCUAUCAGCAGGAAAGAAAAUGACGGUACCUGAAUCAGAAGCCCCGGCAAACUACGUGCAAGCAGCCGCGGUCAUACGUGGGGGGCACGCGUUAUACGGAUUUACUGGGUGGUAAGGGGGCGUAGAAGGGAGCGCAGGUCGGGAGUGAAAGGCCUGGGCCCCACCCUGGAACCGCUCUGGAAACUGUGAAGCUGGAGUGCAGGAGGGGUAAGCGGAAUGCCUGGUGUAGCGGUGAAAUGCGUAGAUAUCAGGAGGAACACCGGCGGCGAAGGCGGCUUACUGGACUGUAACUGACGUUGAGGCUCGAAGGCGUGGGUAUCAAACAGGAUUAGAUACCCGAGUAGUC